rnacentral:tRNA from 1 species
GUCCAGAUAGCUCAGCGGUAGAGCAUAGGAUUGAAAAUCCUUGAGCCAUGGGUUCGAAUCCCAUUCCGGACA